rnacentral:rRNA from 1 species
UGAGGAAUAUUGGUCAAUGGUCGGGAGACUGAACCAGCCAAGCCGCGUGAGGGAUGAAGGUGCUAAGCAUUGUAAACCUCUUUUGUCAGGGAACAAAGGCAUCCACGAGUGGGUGUGUGAGUGUACCUGAAGAAAAAGCAUCGGCUAACUCCGUGCCAGCAGCCGCGGUAAUACGGAGGAUGCGAGCGUUAUCCGGGUUUAUUGGGUUUAAAGGGUGCGUAGGCGGCCUGUUAAGUCAGCGGUAAAAGCCCGGGGCUCAACCCGCGAGCGUUGAAACUGGCUGGCUGGAGUUGGCGAGAGGUAUGCGGAAUGCGCGGUGUAGCGGUGAAAUGCUUAGAUAUCGCGCAGAACUCCGAUUGCGAAGGCAGCAUGCCGGCGCCACACUGACGCUGAGGCACGAAAGCGUGGGGAUGCAAACAGGAUUAGAUACC